rnacentral:rRNA from 1 species
UACGGGGGGGGCAAGCGUUGUUCGGAAUUACUGGGCGUAAAGGGCUCGUAGGCGGCCAACUAAGUCAGACGUGAAAUCCCUCAGCUUAACUGGGGAACUGCGUCUGAUACUGGAUGGCUUGGAUUCGGGAGAGGAAUGCGGAAUUCCAGGUGUAGCGGUGAAAUGCGUAGAUAUCUGGAGGAACAUCAGUGGCGAAGGCGGCUGCCUGGCCCAAUACUGACACUCAGGUGCGACAGCGUGGGGAGCAAACAGG